CUUCCUCGAGCCGAAGACCGCUGUGCCGCACCGCGCGCGCAGCCCUUCCCGAGCCCGAGUCGAUCUGUGCCCCUGUUCGACCCCGUGACCUUUCAGGUCACCGCACGCGAGCCAACCUCCGCGAGGAUCCCCGCAGCCCUUUUUCCCCGUCUCCUGUUGCUGCACGCGUGAGCUAGGGCGAAGCCGAUCUCGUGAGGAGCUCCGCAGUCCGCCGCCUUCGUCGGACGACCUCGCCGCCAGAGCCACCGGAGCGAGGAACUCAAGCUCGUCCGCCGCCGCCGGAGCACACCGCGUUCUCGUCGUCGCCGUCGCCCGCAGAGCACGCCCCGUCGUCGUUUGACCUCACCACCGCGUCCGCAACUCGAAGCCGCCUCCGCCCGUCACCUCACCUUCGCUGGAGCACCGCCGGAGAAGCGCCGCCGGCGACGCCCGAGACCGCCGCCGUUUUCCUCUGUCUUCGGAUUGUCCGGAGUGCGAUGCGAGCUAUUGUCAGGAGUGUGACUUUCUGAACCAGAACCAAGGCAAGUUACAUGUUGAUCAUCCUUUACCUAUUGUUUUCUAUGCAUGUAGUUAUAUCACACUAUGAAUAUAUGCAUGGAUAAGAAUACUAUUUUAUUUUGAGCUAUCUUCCCGCCAUUGCAGAUCGUGGUAGGUGUAGUUGCUAUGCUUUGUAGACAGGGGUGGUUCGUGUAUUCAUUGAGCUAGUGAGAAUUAUAUAUAUAACAAUUUGAGUAGUAACUCAGGGUUUAAUUCACCUCUGGGCGGAAGUGGUAUUGCUAGGGUGGUUUGUGACGACCCGAGACCGACGCUCCAGACGCCUUCCAUGUUUUUCGUUAGCGCCGUGUGUUUUAUUUGUUUGUUGCAUUUCAUCAUCGCACCAUCCGCAUUGCCUUGGCACUCGUUGCCGUCAUUGUUUUUGAAACUUGCAUUCAUUCAUGGUUUCCGCCUCUUCUUUGUCUCUGUUGACCUUCUCUCAGACCAACCGGACCGCUCUCUUCUCUCUUGUGAUGAGGACAUCAAUACCAUUGUUACACCCACAACCCCUACUACUACAUAUACUGGACCAAUUACUAGAGCUC